GAUGAACGCUGGCGGCGUGCCUAAUACAUGCAAGUCGAGCGAACAGACGAGGAGCUUGCUCCUCUGACGUUAGCGGCGGACGGGUGAGUAACACGUGGAUAACCUCCCUAUAAGACUGGGAUAACUUCGGGAAACCGGAGCUAAUACCGGAUAAUAUAUUGAACCGCAUGGUUCAAUAGUGAAAUACGGUUUUGCUGUCACUUCUAGAUGGAUCCGCGCCGCAUUGGCUAGUUGGUAAGGUAACGGCUUACCAAGGGAACGAUGCGUAGCCGACCUGAGAGGGUGAUCGGCCACACUGGAACUGAGACACGGUCCAGACUCCUACGGGAGGCAGCAGUAGGGAAUCUUCCGCAAUGGGCGAAAGCUUGACGGAGCAACGCCGCGUGAGUGAUGAAGGUCUUCGGAUCGUAAAACUCUGUUAUUAGGGAAGAACAAAUGUGUAAGUAACUAUGCACGUCUUGACGGUACCUAAUCAGAAAGCCACGGCUAACUACGUG
rnacentral:rRNA from 1 species